AGCUCUGCGGUGUUUGGCAUAUCAGUUUGCAAAUCUGAAGACGCAGGCGAAGGUCUGCCGGGGCUU
rnacentral:tRNA from 1 species